GGCAGCUGUAACUUGUUAGCGA
rnacentral:siRNA from 1 species